rnacentral:rRNA from 1 species
UAAUUGAAGAGUUUGAUCAUGGCUCAGAUUGAACGCUGGCGGCAGGCCUAACACAUGCAAGUCGAGCGGCAGCACAGAGAAACUUGUUUCUC